CGAUGGAGGGGGAUAACUACUGGAAACGGUAGCUAAUACCGCAUAACGUCGCAAGACCAAAGAGGGGGACCUUAGGGCCUCUUGCCAUCGGAUGUGCCCAGAUGGGAUUAGCUAGCAGGUGGGGUAACGGCUCACCUAGGCGACGAUCCCUAGCUGGUCUGAGAGGAUGACCAGCCACACUGGAACUGAGACACGGUCCAG
rnacentral:rRNA from 1 species